rnacentral:rRNA from 1 species
UACGUAGGGUGCGAGCGUUGUCCGGAAUUAUUGGGCGUAAAGGGCUCGUAGGCGGUUUGUCGCGUCGGGAGUGAAAACCUCGGGCUUAACUCGGGGCUUGCUUUCGAUACGGGCAGACUAGAGGUAUGCAGGGGAGAACGGAAUUCCUGGUGUAGCGGUGAAAUGCGCAGAUAUCAGGAGGAACACCAAUUGCGAAGGCAGCUCGCUGGACGUUACUGACGCUGAGACGCGAAAGCGUGGGAGCAAACAGG